rnacentral:miRNA from 1 species
AUAAUAAUAAUGAUAAUGA